rnacentral:lncRNA from 13 species
AAAAGCACCGAGUCACUGGGGAGAAGACCUGGAGUCACAGCAUAGAGUGCGAGGGAGGGGAGGGGAGGCAGCCUCCCAGGGACGGUUCCUAUUCAAGGCCAGGCCCUCAGAGCUGAGCUGAAAUUUGGAAGUUUGGAGUCUUCCAAACCAGCUGGUGACUGCACUCUCUCCUGGGUCCCUUCCAAUCCUUAUUUCACAUCCCCUGCUGUGUGACUCCCUUAUGCCUGCACCAUGCACCCACCUGUCCCGUCCUGGAGGCCAAACUACAUCCCCCAUCCAAGAACAAGAAGCUGAAAAUGCCCUCAGAAGGUGGGAGAAGCAGAGGACUCUUCUCCCCAUCCCUGCCCCAAGGGUGGACAAAGCCUUAGAAGACAGGAUCCUCAAUACCCAUCGGAAAACGUCUUAAGGCGUUGAGCUCCCACGCUGCCUCACCGCAAGACCCUGCUCCGACCAUCUUUUCCUAGUGAAGAGUCUGCACGGGGGAACGGGGCGCCACGCCCCAGAAAGGAACCUCUGCCUGGGAAUGAGGGACUUGCUCAGUAAAGAGAGGUCGAAGAGGGUGGAGAGGGGUAGGGUCCCAGUCCCCACUGUCCUGAACCCACAGCUCAGUCUGGGCCCGAGAUGGCCCCACAGGAGCACAUGGAGUUUCAGGCACUGCAGGUGGAGGUGAAGGAAUUGCUGCGGUGCGGAAGGCCCAGACCCGGGCGGCAGAGCUUCUGCGGAGAGUGACCGGAGGGCCGGGGUGGAGGCGUGGCUGGGGCGGUGGAAGCGUGGCUGGGGAGGCGGGGCCGGAGUGUGGUGGGCUUAAGCAGUGAGGGCGAGGCUAGG